UACGUAGGGGGCAAGCGUUAUCCGGAUUUACUGGGUGUAAAGGGAGCGCAGGCGGUAUGGCAAGUCAGAUGUGAAAACCCAGGGCUCAACCCUGGGACUGCAUUUGAAACUGCCAUACUGGAGUGCCGGAGAGGUAAGUGGAAUUCCUAGUGUAGCGGUGAAAUGCGUAGAUAUUAGGAGGAACACCAGUGGCGAAGGCGGCUUACUGGACGGUAACUGACGCUGAGGCUCGAAAGCGUGGGGAGCAAACAGG
rnacentral:rRNA from 1 species